UGUGGACUGAUGGGUGUGCUGAGCAGAGACUCGGAGGGGCAGAGCCUGCAGGUCCUGGGGACGGCGUCCAGGCGGGGAGAAGAGCCCAUGCUAAGGCCCUGAGGCUAUGUUCAGGGUGGAGAAGAGCUCAGUGAGUCAUUCUUAGAAGUCCGCAGUUUGGAGCUAAGAUGAUGGCCCGACACACCUGAGAGCUCCACCCUUCAAAGUCACCCUCUGUUAUUAUUAGGGUUCUCCAGAGAAAUGGAACCAAUAGGAGAUAGGUGGAUAGAUAGAUAGAUAGAUAGAUAGAUGAUAGAUUGAUAGAUAAUUGAUAGAUAGAUAGAGAGACUGAUUUUAAAGAAUUGGCUCACACAUUUGUGGAGGUUGGCAAGUUUGAAACCUGCAGGGCAGGCUGGCAGUCUGAAAACUCAGGUAAGAGUUGAUGUUCAGUCUUGAGUCUGAAUUCCGCAGGAAAGCAGGCUGGAAACCCUGGCAGAAGUUCUACGUUGCGGCCUGGAGAAGAACUCCCUUUUCAGAUGACCCCAGUCUUUGCUCUUAAGGCCUUCCAUGGAUUGGUUGAGGUCCACCCACGUUAUGGAGGGUGAUCUGCGUUACUCAAAGUCUGCUGAUUGACUGUUAGUCAUAUCUUUUUUUUUAAAUUGAAGUAUAGUUGAUUUACAAUGUUUCAGGUGUACAGCAAAGUGAUUCAGUUAUACAUGUAUAUAUGUGUGUGUGUGUGUAUUCUUUUUCAAAUUCUUUUCCAUUAUAGGGUAUUACAAGGUAUUGAAUAGUUCCCUGUGCUAUACAGUAGGUCUUUGAUGUUUGUCUAUUUUAUAUAUAGUAGUGUGUAUCUGUUAAUCGCAAGCUCCUAAUGUAUCCCUCCCCCCCUUUCCCCUUUAGUAACCAUAAGUUUAUUUUCUAUGUCUAAUGUUAGUCAUAUCUUAAAAAUACCUUCCCAAUAACAUCUAGACUGGUGUCUGACCAAACCACUGGGCACUGUAGCCUAGGCAAAAUGACGCAUAAAUUAACCAUCACACGCCCCAAUCUGUGGUGGUGAAACGGCCUCAGCUCCACCCGCCGUGUUACCAGAGAGAACAGACCAAUUGUGAAACGGCCCAAGAAGUUGCACUUUAUUCAUCAAACCUGAAAUGAGCUCCUUAAUGUGUUAAAUUGCUGCAAUCGAUUCCUGGAUCACAUGUGAAAUUAAACAUUAAUUAAAAAAAGAAGUUUAUACAUAACUAAUAUCUUGGA